rnacentral:misc_RNA from 1 species
UCUGGGUUUAUCCCAGCGGUCUCGUUAGAAAGAUUUAACUAACGACGGGGGUUGCGCUCGUUGCGGGACUUAACCCAGCACCUUCAAAAGCGCCGGUUGUCAGAGGCAUUCUAGCCCAGGUAAGGUUCUUCGCGUUGCGUCGAAUUAAACCACAUGCUCCACCGCUUGUGCGGGUCCCCGUCAAUUCCUUUGAGUUUCAGUCUUGCGACCGUACUCCCCAGGCGGAAUGCUUAAAGCGUUAGCGACGGCACCCGGGGACUUUAUAACCCCAGACACCAAGCAUUCAUCGUUUAAGGCCAGGACUAC